CCCUGGCUCCACUAGGCCGCAUCCACAGCCGCGACCCUCGCGUACCUGACAGUUCACGAUGCGGGCGGUGUAGCUGGAGGUAGACGACGGUGACGGUGACGGUUGGUUCCCUCUGGAGGAGGCCUCGACAGCUCCGGGAUGCGAUAUGUGGCAGAGGAGCCGGGGACGUCACCAUCAGCCUGAGACAAAGCUGCAUCUUCCCUCCUUUGUUCUUGAUCCAGACUCUCCUGCUGACCGUCAUCUGUGCCAGAGACCUCGAGACGGGACUCAGGGUUGAGGCUACACUGUGGGGCCAACUCUGGGAACUCUGUGAAGAGCCAGUGACGGUCUUUGAAGAAACGAUUCUCAUGGACUGUGUAAAAACUGUUCCAAAACUCAUUUGCCUGGUUGUCGUAUUCCUCUGGGAAAAAAAGGUAAACAGUAAAAAGUUUAAGUCAUAAUCAAGCACAUCUUGCCAUGAUUAAAAAUCAACAACGACAAAGUC